rnacentral:rRNA from 1 species
UACGUAGGGUGCAAGCGUUAAUCGGAAUUACUGGGCGUAAAGGGCUCGUAGGCGGCCAACUAAGUCAGACGUGAAAUCCCUCGGCUUAACCGGGGAACUGCGUCUGAUACUGGAUGGCUUGAGUUCGGGAGAGGGAUGCGGAAUUCCAGGUGUAGCGGUGAAAUGCGUAGAUAUCUGGAGGAACACCGGUGGCGAAGGCGGCAUCCUGGGCCAAUACUGACACUGAGGAGCGAAAGCCAGGGGAGCAAACGGG